UACAGAGACUGCAAGCGUUAUUCGGAUUCACUGGGCGUAAAGGGCGCGCAGGCGGCCGUGUGUGUGAGGCGUGAAAGCCCGGGGCUUAACCCCGGAAUUGCACCUCAAACUACAUGGCUAGAGCAUUGGAGAGGGUAGCGGAAUUCACGGUGUAGCAGUGAAAUGCGUAGAUAUCGUGAGGAUCACCAGAGGCGAAGGCGGCUACCUGGACAAUUGCUGACGCUCAGGCACGAAAGCGUGGGGAGCAAAAGGG
rnacentral:rRNA from 1 species